rnacentral:rRNA from 1 species
GUAGGGGGCUAGCGUUGUCCGGAUUUAUUGGGCGUAAAGAGCGUGUAGGCGGCCAGGUAGGUCCGUUGUGAAAACUCGAGGCUUAACCUCGAGAUGCCGACGGAAACCAUCUGGCUAGAGUCCGGAAGAGGAGAGUGGAAUUCCCGGUGUAGCGGUGAAAUGCGCAGAUAUCGGGAAGAACACCUAUGGCGAAGGCAGCUCUCUGGGACGGUACUGACGCUGAGACGCGAAAGCGUGGGGAGCGAACAGGAUUAGAUACCCUGGUAGUCCACGCCGUAAACGAUGGGUGCUAGGUGUGGGAGGUGUCGACUCCUUCCGUGCCGAAGCUAACGCAUUAAGCACCCCGCCUGGGGAGUACGGCCGCAAGGCUA